GAUGAACGCUGGCGGCGUGCCUAAUACAUGCAAGUCGAGCGAACAGACGAGGAGCUUGCUCCUCUGCCGUUAGCGGCGGACGGGUGAGUAACACGUGGAUAACCUACCUAUAAGACUGGGAUAACUUCGGGGAAACCGUAGCUCAUACCGCAUAAUAUAUUUAACCGCAUGGUUCAAUAGUGAAAGACGGUUUUGCUGUCACUUAUAGAUGGAUCCGCGCCGCAUUAGCUAGUUGGUAAGGUAACGGCUUACCAAGGCAACGAUGCGUAGCCGACCUGAGAGGGUGAUCAGCCACACUGGAACUGAGACACGGUCCAGACUCCUACGGGAGGCAGCAGUAGGGAAUCUUCCGCAAUGGGCGAAAGCCUGACGGAGCAACGCCGCGUGAGUGAUGAAGGUCUUCGGAUCGUAAAACUCUGUUAUUAGGGAAGAACAAAUGUGGAAUUAACUAUGGACGUCUUGACGGUACCUAAACAGAAAGCCACGGCUAACUACGUG
rnacentral:rRNA from 1 species